rnacentral:rRNA from 1 species
UACGUAGGGGGCAAGCGUUGUCCGGAAUCAUUGGGCGUAAAGCGCGCGUAGGCGGCCCGGUAAGUCCGCUGUGAAAGUCGGGGGCUCAACCCUCGGAUGCCGGUGGAUACUGUCGGGCUUGAGUGCGGAAGAGGCGAGUGGAAUUCCUGGUGUAGCGGUGAAAUGCGCAGAUAUCAGGAGGAACAUCAAUUGCGAAGGCAGCUCGCUGGGACGUUACUGACGCUGAUGCGCGAAAGCGUGGGGAGCAAACAGG